rnacentral:misc_RNA from 1 species
AAAAGCAGAUUAAAGCUACACCAGGAAGGGAUCCGGGGAAUGUCUAAUCUGCUUUUGGAAGCAAAUGGGGAAACUGUGCUAAUGAUAGUUUGGUCUCAACAUAUAUUUAGUCUUACCAUCAAUAAAGAAGCUUACCUGAACACAGAGGGCAAUGAUGUCAGCGAAACGUGAAAGAGACUUUGCAGGAUACAUGCCAUUCAAGGCAGGAUCAACCAUUUUUGCCAAAGCAUCAAUAUCGUGCAGUUGAGGAGUAGCCCAUCUCACAAGUGACUGCUCUGAUCUCACCCUUGAACUGUCCAGCGGCUUCCGACCAGUCAGUAGCUCCAACAUCACCACACCAAAGCUGUACACAUCACUCUUUACAGUGUAUACUCCUGACAAGGCAAAUUCAGGAGCACUAUAGCCAAAUGAUCCGACCAUCUGUGUUGACACCUGCCUCUCUGUGUUUGGUGUGAGAGCAGCUAAACCGCAGUCUGACAAGUGGGGAUUGAGCUCUUCAUCAACUAAAAUAUUUGCUGACUUGAAAUUUCGAUGCACAACAGAAGGCAAGCAAACUUCAUGCAGGUACUCUAAAGCCCGCGCCGUCCCAAGUGCUACCCUAACACGUGCAUUCCAAGAUAGAGUCUUGCUACCAUCAUCAGCAAAGUGCAGCAUAUCAUGCAGACUCCCAUUCCCAAUAUAUUCAUAAACCAAAAGGCGCUGGCCAUGCUCUGAACAGUAUCCUACCAGUGAAACAAUGUUUGGGUGCCUCAACCGAGACAUAUUUGAAACAGCUUCAAGAAAGUUAUCUUCCUCCUGCAAUGAAAGUGCUGCAUUGUCGAUCUUCUUAAUAGCCAUUGCCUUUCCAUUAG